rnacentral:lncRNA from 1 species
AUGAGGUGACUUAUGUGUGUCCAGCAUGAAUUGAUGUCUCAGACAUGUUAAAUGAAAAAAGCAAGUCACAGAACGAUACACAGAAAAUGGUACAAAAUAGAAACAACAACACAAAAAUUUAAAAAUGAAAUCAAGAACUCUUCUACAAAGAGGUGGGAUAUGGCAUAGUAGUCCUGCGACCACUCUGCUCAAAGCCACAGUGGAUUGACCUCCCUCCAACAUGUGCUGGCUGCUGGCCCUGUCCCUCUCCGAGUCUCAGUUUCCCUGUCUGUGGAAUGGGGAUGAUAAAAGUAAAAGCCUCAGAGGGUUGCUGUGGGCCCCACAAAGUUUGGGAAGUACGGGCGCCCAGCCUCGUUGACUGUGCUUAUCAUCUGUGCAAUGGGGACAGCCUCAGGGGGCAAGGAUCUCUCUCCAAAAGACAUUUUGGAAUUUCUCACAGCCAGUGCAUGUGGAUUACAUGAGUACAUUUUUAAUAAGGAAAAAAAAAAGAAAGUUAAGGAUGCUAUUUCUGAAGGGAAAAUAUGCAGGAAGUUUUUAAGACCCUGACUCCUCACACACCCCCUCAGGGGCCGGCUUGCAGUUUAGAAGUGAGCACACGUGGGUAGCUCAGCUCUGCGGAGGAGGCUGUGGUCAGAGGCAGCUGCCUGGCGGAGGCUGGAAGGGCCCCUGGACAUUUAUCAAGGCCAGGAUGGGGAGACAUGCUGCUCCCGACCCCAGAGGCCCCACUCAUGUUACCUGGCGGCUUUGAGACAGAAGUUCCUCAGCAAAGCAGGCUCCUUCCUGCCUGGCAUUAUGAGCAGAGAUUAAGCACUCUGUUGACACACAAAGAAACAGCCCCAUCUGUAAAAUUCCGCAGCAGGGCGAGGCUUGUCAGGCCUUUAAUACAGGGGCCUGGAGGCUCCUGAGUGUUUACUAAGAGCUCAGCCUGAUGGGGAUGGAGGAGAGGACUCUCUCAGUUCAGUAGCAUGUUUUUACUGCGCACCUACUGUGUGCCCGGCACCAUUCUAGACACUCAGGACGUGGCAGGGAGAAACUCUCCACGGGUGCUGAGAUGUCUUUGACACCUCGCUGAGUAAGGUUGGCAGAGCUUCCUUCACAACAGCCGGAAACGGUUUCCAUUGAAAACCUUCCUCAGGCAGCAGGACAGAAAGCAGACUUGGGUGACACCUUUUGUUUCUCUGUGUUCACUUUCACCAUCACCUACUCUUCCGUGGCCAGUGAUGUUCCAGCAGGUGGCUGGGUCCUGCUGUGAGGACAACAUGGAGCAGAGCCCAGGCUUACCUACAAUGGACAUGCAGUGUGAGUGACAAGAAACCUCUGUGUGCUGAGCUGUUGAAAUCGCCAGGUUGUUUGUUACCACAGUAUAACCUGGCCUAUCCUGACCAUUGCAGGCUCCCUUGCCUACACUUGGUAAGGGAUUGCCUCCAAGAACCACAUCAGCGUGGACCAUGAGCGUAGGCAGAUGAGGUGCAUGCGAACUGCUUAGCCAGCAGCUGCCACAGUGGAAGGUCUAUGUCAUUGCUGCUGCUGCAUGCUCGUUGUGGCUGUGAUUGUCAUCAGCAAAGACCAGCAACAACAAAAGGCCACAGAAGCCCUUACCAUACAUUCUAGAAGGCUUAAGUCUACUCUGGUCAUUUCAACCUUGGGCAGAGAAGGUGGCCUCUUGGAACCUCUCUGAGAUUUCAUUCUCUCACCAGGUGGGUGAGAGGACAGCAAAGAGCCAUGUUACGAAAUUCAAUGAAAGGCUCAUUUCCUACCCCUGGGGAAAGCAGCAAAGCCAGGCUGACACCAAGGAGUUCUAAACAGAGGAGGGCCUGACUUGCUGGCCGGGUGGGCAGAGGAAGACAGGGAGCCCAGUGAUAACGCCUGGCUGGAGGUGGAGCCACGGUUGCCAGGGUACUUGUGCUGUGUAAGGAAUCCCUCAAAACAUUAGGGCGCCCAGCAGCCAUCGUAUUACGCUCACAGAUCCUAUGGCUCAGAAUCACACAAGGCACAGCACAGAUGUCUUGUCUCUAUUCCAGGAUGCCAGGGCCUUCUGGAAGUGCCUGUUUGGCAGUUGGAGCUGGCUGGGGGCUGGGACGUAUCUGGACUGUCUGCCACAACACCAACCCACAGCCCCCUUUCGGGCUACUUGGACUUCCUCACAACAUGGCGGCCCUGGGCAGUCAGAUGCUUACACAGCAUCUCAGGGCUAUAGCACGAAGGCACCUGCAUCACCUUCUGUGACCUAGCCUUGGAGGCCACGCAGCGUCUCUUCUGCCACAUUCUAUUAGUUGUGAGUGAGUCAUGAACGUGCUCAGAUUCAGGAGGGAGAGAACAUAAACCCCACUCUCCAGCAGUGGGAGGUAAAGGUCAUAUGGGAAGAAUAUCUUGUGGGAUGGGAGAAAUUGCAGAGGCUGUCUCUGGAAAAUGCCAUCUGUUACAAGGGACUUAGACCACCCCCGUCCCACCUCUCCUCCAGGCCUGGGUCCUUCCCAUGGCCACCUGCUGACCACUGGGGACUUCUGUGUCAUCCCUCCAGCUCUGAAGAUUCCUCUCAGUGAACUUCUUAGCUAAGCCUGCCAGCCCACAGCCUUCUCUCGUGUCCUGCCUGGCGAGGGGUCUGGCUGGUGUUGAAGGCAGCCCCAGGGCCUCACCUCACACUGCACAAUGACCCACGGUGCCCUGGACAAGAGGCUGCCCUUGGCAUUCCAGGCAAAAAGUCGCUUCCCUGAAAUGUUCUCCAGUGGGAAGCUAAGAGCGUGCCUGCCUCCCAUCCUGACCUCCUGCCCCUUCAGAAGCGUCCCUGCAGCUCCUGCCUGCACCUGGCAGGGAGCACCGCUACAGAGUUUGCUGCUGUACCGGCUCAGAAACGGGAGUUCCCGGCACAGGGCCAUCGGCGAGCCUCCCAGCUGGAGUGUGGGCAGAGGCAGACACUGGGGCUGCAGGGGAGUGGCCCCCAGGGUGUGAAUAGGAGGGCAUCCUGCAGGCUCCAGACAUUGCCAUGCGUGUUGCUGUGAUUAACCCCCAAACCCAGCUCCAUCAUUCAUUCACUCCUUCAUUUGUUCAUCCUAUUGUCCCAGGAGCUGGGCUAUAACAGAAAGGAGACAGGCCACAGACAGACAGGCAAGGCCAUCCCAGGCAGUGAGAGGCGACGUGAACUCUGUGAACUGAGAUGAUGAGGAAGAGAGGAGAAGGGCGGGGCCGCUUUAGAAAGGCUGCUGGGGAUGUCCUGUUUGAGGAGGUGACCCUGUCACUGGAGCCAAGCCAAGAGCUGGGGAAGAGCAUGUCAGGCCCCAAGAACUGCAGGUGCAAAGGCCCUGAGGCAGGACCCUAGCAGGACCCUAGCAGGUGCAGGUGCAGGUGCAAAGGUCCUAAGGCAGGACCUGAGCAGGUGCAGGUGCAAAGGCCCUGAGGCAGGACCUGAGCAGAUGCAGGUGCAAAGGCCCUGAGGCGGGACCUGAGCAGGUACGGGUGCAAAGGCCCUGAGGCAGGACCCGAGCAGGCAUGUCUGAGGGUCAUAGGAAGCCUGUGUGCCUGGAGCAGAGGGUACAAGCCCAACGUGGAGCUUGUGCAUGGCUCUCCACUGCCUCCCAACUCAGUCCAGGGGCUUCUGCUCGGCUUUCAAUGCCCUCCACUGUGGGGGCCCUGCCACACCUCCCCAUUCUCUGGGGGCCCCAGGAUUUCCCACAUCCUUGUUUUUUCCCAUAUUGCAUUAGGAUUUGACUUUAUUAUUUAAACAAGAAGCAGAGGCCCCCACUCCUUAGGGCGGAAACGUUGCUCAGAAUCACAUCCUGGAGGAUGGAGUGAAAGGGAUGUUGGUCUUAGAAGCCCUAAGAGAAGACGGCACAGAGUGGCUGGACUGGGGGUGGGGGUGGAAGAGACUGAGGAAGGCCAGGUGGACAAGGCGGGGUGGGGCCCACAGUCCUCAUUGCCACAGGGCUUUGCCAUCUUGCCAAGGAGCCAACUUGCCCUGAUUCCACGGAGCAGGCCACUGGGACUUCCCACUUCUGUGGGGGCGCUGCGACUGCCUCCAAGAUCCUCCCCAAAUCUCUCUGGGCCUCAGUGAGGUGCCUGGGGAAUGGAUUUAAGAUUGGUGGCCCAGUUUCCGGACAGCUGGGAGAUGAGCUCAGCCUUACUAAUGUGAUCGAAGUUGCCAACCCCUGCCCCGCACAUCCUCAGGGGACCCUAGGCUGCUGGCCACCAGCAAGGUUGUCUUGUCUGUUUGAUCUUCGAUUCCUGAGGGUAGUGGGCACCUCGGUAGGUGAUCCUGCCCAAAUCCCGCCUCCGCUUGUCCUCUUGGCAGGGCGGCCUCCCUCCCGCAUACCACAGCCUUCCUGCAAUGCUGCGACUCGGGUUCAUUCCAGGGGAUCCUUGAGCGCUGGCGGCACAGAGGGGCCAACCUUGAACUCAGCAAAGAGGAAUGCUUGACUCCUCUCCAGCUGGAAGGCUGUACCUGGGCUAAGAACUGAUGAGCCUGCUUGAAGGAAACACUCCGUGCUUUUGUUAAAGGGGAAGGGAAAAUAAAAUCCCAAAUCAACCUUGGAUCAAUGUCUCUUCCCCAGACGGCAGCCCAAGGCCUCUGCGGCCUCUGCAUCAGUCAGCUGGGAAAGCGGCACAGCCCCUGGGACUGUGGCUGGGCCAGCCAGCCUCCACCCAGACAGAGCCCGCAGCAGGCCGUUGAUUCACCGUUCCCCAGCAAAAGCGUCAUCCUGAGUCCCAUGGAAGAGACUGGUUAAUCUCUUACUGUGUAAUUAAUCUCUUACUGUGUACCAGGCACAUGCAUACAUCCCAUAACGCAUUCAGCCUCACACCAUCUACUUUACAAAGCACAUAGCACUACUGUCUUCAUCUGGCAGUUAGCAAACCUGUGGCCCAGAGGGGUGGACCAAUUUACUCAUAGCCACAUAGCUGUCAGGAGCUGAGAUACAAGCCCAGGCGUGGUGGAUCCAAAGCCUCUUGUCCUGGCUGGGCAUAAUGGCUCACACCUGUAAUCUCAGCACUUUGAGAGCCUGA